rnacentral:rRNA from 1 species
UACAGAGGGGGCUAGCGUUAUUCGGAAUUAUUGGGCGUAAAGGGCGCGUAGGCGGCCAUGCGUGUCUUCCGUGAAAUCCCUCGGCUUAACUGAGGACGUGCGGAAGAAACUGCAAGGCUCGAGUCCGGGAGAGGGGGGGUGGAAUUCCCAGUGUAGCGGUGAAAUGCGUAGAUAUUGGGAGGAACACCGGUGGCGAAGGCGGCCCCCUGGACCGGAACUGACGCUGAGGCGCGAAAGCGUGGGUAGCAAACGGG